CCUACGGGAGGCAGCAGUGAGGAAUAUUGGUCAAUGGACGAGAGUCUGAACCAGCCACGUAGCGUGAAGGAUGACUGCCCUAUGGGUUGUAAACUUCUUUUAUAUGGGAAUAAAAUGUUCCACGUGUGGGAUUUUGUAUGUACCAUAUGAAUAAGGAUCGGCUAACUCCGUGCCAGCAGCCGCGGUAAUACGGAGGAUCCGAGCGUUAUCCGGAUUUAUUGGGUUUAAAGGGAGCGUAGGUGGAUUGUUAAGUCAGUUGUGAAAGUUUGAGGCUCAACCGUAAAAUUGCAGUUGAAACUGGCAGUCUUGAGUACAGUAGAGGUGAGCGGAAUUCGUGGUGUAGCGGUGAAAUGCUUAGAUAUCACGAAGAACGCCGAUUGCGAAGGCAGCUUACUGGACUGCAACUGACACUGAGGCUCGAAAGUGUGGGUAUCAAACAGGAUUAGAUACCCGAGUAGUC
rnacentral:rRNA from 1 species